CAUUUGAUUCUGACCUGUUUCCUCAGCCUCAGUCAUCCACAGUGAACCAUCAGCCGUCCUGCUCCAGGGUUCAAAUGAACUUGUGUGUCUGGUCUUUGGCUUCAGUCCUGCAUCCAUUAACAUCACCUGGAUUCGUGAUGGAAGCACAGAGAUGUGGAACUACAAUAACAGUCAUCCCUACAGAGGCCCGGAUGGAAAGUUCUGCAUCCAAAGCUUCCUCCGUCUGUCUCCAGUUGACUCCUUACCCGGGGUGAACCUCACCUGCAGAGUGACACAUGGAAACACCACUCUGUCUGUGAAUGUCUCCAGAACAGACACGUUGGAACAAUGUCAUUUCUUUGAUGACAUCUUGCAUGUUGAUAUGAGCCAAGACACAGUCAUGCAAGCUUGGGGUGUGGCCAUUUUCUUCCUCCUCUUAUUCUUCAUCUCCAUUUAUUCUUUUACUCUCACUUUUCUGUUCAAUGUUGCUUGUAAAAAUAAUAAAUUCAUCAGUCAAACAGG